rnacentral:rRNA from 1 species
GAGUUUGAUCCUGGCUCAGAAUCAACGCUGGCGGCGUGCCUAACACAUGCAAGUCGAACGCGAAAACCCGCAAGGGGUUAGUAGAGUGGCAAACGGGUGAGUAACGCGUGGGUGACCUGCCUUCGAGCGGGGGAUAACGUUCCGAAAGGGACGCUAAUACCGCAUAACAUCCUGCCUUUGAACAGGUGGAGAUCAAAGCUGGGGAUCGCAAGACCCGGCACUUGAAGAGGGGCCCGCGUCUGAUUAGCUAGUUGGUGAGGUAACGGCUCACCAAGGCGACGAUCAGUAUCCGGCCUGAGAGGGCGGACGGACACACUGGGACUGAGACACGGCCCAGACUCCUACGGGAGGCAGCAGUGGGGAAUUGUUCGCAAUGGGCGCAAGCCUGACGACGCAACGCCGCGUGGAGGAUGAAGAUUUUCGGAUCGUAAACUCCUGUCGAAUGGGACGAAUAGGUCACGGCUUAAUACUCCGUGAUCCUGACGGUACCGUUAAAGGAAACCCCGGCUAACUCCGUGCCAGCAGCCGCGGUAAUACGGGGGGGGUAAGCGUUGUUCGGAAUUACUGGGCGUAAAGGGCUCGUAGGCGGCCAACUAAGUCAGACGUGAAAUCCCUCAGCUUAACUGGGGAACUGCGUCUGAUACUGGAUGGCUUGGAUUCGGGAGAGGAAUGCGGAAUUCCAGGUGUAGCGGUGAAAUGCGUAGAUAUUGGGAAGAACACCGGUGGCGAAGGCGGCUCACUGGCCAGUUUCUGACGCUGCAGCGCGAAAGCGUGGGGAUCAAACAGGAUUAGAUACCCUGGUAGUCCACGCUGUAAACGAUGAGUGCUAGGCGUCGGCAUGCUUGCAUGUCGGUGCCGCAGCUAACGCGUGAAGCACUCCGCCUGGGGAGUACGGUCGCAAGAUUAAAACUCAAAGGAAUUGACGGGGGCCCGCACAAGCGGUGGAGCAUGUGGUUUAAUUCGACGCAACGCGCAGAACCUUACCAGCCCUUGACAUCCCGUGACCGGUCCAGAGAUGGGCUUUCCCCGCAAGGGGCACGGAGACAGGUGCUGCAUGGCUGUCGUCAGCUCGUGUCGUGAGAUGUUGGGUUAAGUCCCGCAACGAGCGCAACCCUUGCCUUCAGUUGCCAUCAUUUAGUUGGGCACUCUGGAGGGACUGCCGGCGGCAAGCCGGAGGAAGGUGGGGAUGACGUCAAGUCCUCAUGGCCCUUACGGGCUGGGCUACACACGUGCUACAAUGGUGGCGACAGAGGGCACAAGCGAGAGCGCGAGCUUUAGCAAAUCCUCAAAAGCCAUCUCAGUUCAGAUUGCACUCUGCAACUCGGGUGCAUGAAGGUGGAAUCGCUAGUAAUCGCAGAACAGCAGGCUGCGGUGAAUACGUUCCCGGGCCUUGUACACAC